UCAGAACCGCGUCAUUAGCCGGAACAUGAAAUGCAUGCUAGUCAUGCAGAUGAAGAUUUUCAAUUUAAGCACAUGAGAUAACUUGUUUUAUAAUGCGGUCACCGGCAGGUUAGGAACCGAGAAGAGUCUCAGAAGAAGCUGGGUAAUGGGCUAUAGGUCUGGCGUUUAACUGUGUCACUGAAACAGACCAUGCAAAAGGGUAAUGAGUGAAGGCCGCCUGUUUCCGUGUGGCCGUGACGGGGCCCACCAGGGUGAGGCGGACUGUGAAAAGGGGGCUGUCGCUAGAUACUGAACUCUGCACAACCCCCUGCCAAAAACAUGGUGGAGCCAGCCAGAGGAGAGAUGAGGAGUAGGGAAACAAGCGAAGAGGAGGAGUGGGCUGUUUUGGAAGCAGUUGGGAAAUGGAGUCGGAUGGUCCGAGGUUGGGUUCAUGGUGGCUGAAAUGUUUCCCUGCUCACUGUUGAUCAAAGGCCAUCUUUAACAUGACAUAUGGAUCAGCAGACACUAAUGAGAGGGCAGUGGCCAGCUGAAUCUCCACAGUAACAAAAGAGGCUGGGACAUCUGGAGUCAGCCACACACAGACUCCUGUCCCUCUGUCACGACACACGGAAUUAGGAUCAACCAAUGUUAAGUUCACUGAAGGCAGAUGAAAUCAACACGAUGCAGGUGAGUAAUGACUGUUAGAAUGAUAGGAUGAAUAUUGACUUGAAUGUCUCCAGGAACACACACACAAACAGAGGAGCAGUCACGACGUGGAGACCAGAAGAUUCGACUUGGGAAAAGGAGGCAGCAUCAGAGAUAAUCCAAGCAGCUAUGGACAGUUCCCAAGGUUCCCAAGAGAGUCUGUGUUCUCUUGACAAAGCCAGGUACAUUUGUGUUUGAUUAGAACUCUGGGAAACAUGAGCUAGAGCUUAAAUAGCCUUCUAUUUGCAGUACUCCUGUCUUAUUUAAAUGUAUUUAUAUAUGGAUAAGCUUCUGUGCUAUAAGCUAAAACUUAAUAAUAUUACAGUCACAUUUUUAAAAUUUUAAAAGACAUUUUAUUUGUAUUAAAGUUCUAUAGGUAAAGCAGAUAAUGGAUCCUCUUGUCUUGUUUCUCUUAAUAUUUAAAAGGCUUCAAAGAUAUUUUCAUUAGCCAUCACUCUUACUUCAGCUUGUUUAUACAUACCUUUAAUCAUUGUAAUAAACUUUUGUUGAAAGUCAAAGAACUCGCACAUUUCAAAACUAAAGGGCCAUAACAACCUAUCAAAGGUCUUUUCAGUGUGAGAAGUCUCAGCGUUUGUUACUUUUUUCACACACCCUCAGAUUGUUCCAAACCUGUGUGAGUAUCUUUCUUCUAGUAGAAAAAAAAGUGAGUCACUUGAGUAAACAAACAGUUUUUGG